rnacentral:tRNA from 1 species
GGGCAUAUAGCUCAGUGGAAGAGCGUGUAGUUAGCACACGCGACAUCCUGGGUUCAAUCCCCGGUACCUCCA